rnacentral:rRNA from 1 species
UAAAGUGGCGAACGGGUGAGUAACACGUGAGAAUCUGCCCUUGAGUGGAGAAUACCUUCGAGAAAUUGAAGUUAAUACUGCAUAAUCCCUUUCGAGGGAAAAGACGGCCUCUUUGCCGUCGCUUAAGGAUGAGCUCGCGUCCUAUUAGCUAGUUGGUAGGGUAAAGGCCUACCAAGGCUUAGAUGGGUAGCCGGCCUGAGAGGGUGUACGGCCACAUUGGGACUGAGAUACGGCCCAA